UAUAGAUUCCAGGUGAUAUGUUGGUCAACGCAAUCCUUGCAGCGAUUUUAGCUCAUGAAAAUCAAUAUUCUGAAGAAACAAUUAUUUAUCACAUCAGUUCAUUUUCAAGAGGCCCUCCAAGAAAUUCAGAUAUAAAACUUUUCAUGUUUCACUACUUCACAAAGAAUCCAUGGAUUAACAAAGAUGGGACAACUAUCAGAGUGAGAAAGCCUAUAUUAUUUAGCAAUAUAUCAAGCUUUCGCAGACCCAUUUCAAUUCAUUAUUCCCUGCUCUUAAAGGAACCUAGUGUCAUUUCAUCGCUUUGACAAAACAUAUGAAUAUGUAUAAGGCUAUACAUCUAUCUGAAUUGCACGAACCCUACAUGUUUUUUAAUGGAAGCUUCGAUGAUGUUAAUACUGAAAACUUGAGAUUGGCAAUGAAGGAAAUCAACAUGGGUGAAGUGCUCAAUUUUGAUCCACGAUGCAUUAAUUGGGAGGAUUACUUUAUGAAUACUCACAUUCCUGGAUCUGUGAAAUACCUGUUUUAGGGAUUAUAUUUAAGCUUUUAUAUAUGUAUAGUACUUAAUUAUAAGAUUUACUUUAGUGCUUUAACUUAAAUACACAAUAUGGUACGUUGGAAUUCAAAUUAAUCUGACAAAGUACGUAGUACCAUUUGGUAUAAAAGGUAUUAAAGGAUUGGAUUUGAUUGAAUUUAGAUGGAUUAAAAUGAAUUGAA